rfam:Oryza meridionalis cultivar OR44 (W2112) chromosome 2, whole genome shotgun sequence.
CCUUCGUUAGCCGUGGGUAUCCGUGUACAGCGUUUGACCGUCCAUAUUAUUUAAAUGUUUUUUUAAAAAAAUUAAAAAAAUAGUCACACAUAAAGUAUUAUUCAUGUUUUAUCAUCUAAUAACAAUAAAAAUACUAAUCAUAAAAAAUUUCAAAUAAGACGAACGGUCAAACGUUGAACNNNNNNNNN